GACAGGGUGUAGGGUGCUGGCAAAUGGGGGGGUGGCGGGGUGUAAGGCAGGAGGACGGAGCCUUUGGAUUAAUGCUGGUGUCCUCUCCCCUUGUUCUACAUCUCCAUUGUGUAUGGACAAGACCCCGCUCGGCACGUGUAAUUACCACUGACGGUGUUACUCUUUCCAGAGACAAGUUCAAGCACGGCCAGGCUGUUCCAGUCCUGAGGAGCCUGACCAGAGAGCGUCUGCGGGCCCGCCAGAUGAUGAGGACGUCCCAGAUGAUGAGGACCUCUGAGAAGAACGCCAUCCAGCCCAUCCUGCUGGGGAAUAAACUCACGGCAACGAAGGUAGUCGCCCCGCUGGGGUGCUGGAUCUCAAAUGACCUGCCUGGACUUCUAUUUAAACCUGCUGUGGGUCCGCCGUGGGCCUGUAUACCACUGUAGUACUGCAGGGGACGGCCCUAUGUCCGUUCCUCUUCCCCCUGUAAACCUUGGCCUCUGUCCACCAUACACUAUCCGCUUGGACAACAAGCUUGACUGGACAGUGUUCUCCAUGUCAGUCUACAUGUAGGGGCAGACUCUACCUCCUGAGGAAGUGAGCUGCCGACAUUAGAAGACCGAUGGGAGCAUGGUGCGGAUGCUCUGUGAGUCUCUUCUAGGCUUGGGUGAAUCUGGAACAGCAGCAUGACUAAACAGCUUGUUAAGUCCAACACUCUCCUGACAAUGAUCAGGAUGGCCGGCGUGUUCUGGGGUAGAACUGGACCCCCUGUAGCCGUCAGAGAAAAGAGACUGUGCAAAACACCUCUCUACCCUUGAUAAUGACUCCGGACUGCAGUCUGAACAGAGAAGUCUGUUCAGCAGUUGACGCCUGGCAUUGAGGAGGUCCACCGGGUGGUUCGGGAAAACCUUAAUUCCUGUGGACAGAGAAGUCUUUAACUCCUCUCACCACCGCCAGGUCACUCUAUACUGCACUGUCGUGGAAUUCAGUCAAUUUGAACAUUUUAGGAUUUAUCGUAUCAAGAUGAUCUGUGCUACAUACCUGUGACAAUUUAUUUAAUUUCAGUUACAUAGCUACUUCAUUUUAUGUACAAACAUUCAGCUGUUAUAAAUGUCAUCAUAUUUGAUCCAUAAUUAGAAUAUGUAUAUUUAUGGAGUGUUUUGUGUUUGUAUUUAUUUUUGAUGUUUGUUCUAUUUGCAUUGAAGUUUCUGGCUUGUGAUUAGAGACUGUAACAAAAUAAAUUCUUCCGGGAUCAAUAAAGUAAUCUGUGCCUAUAUCUGUUAACAA
ensembl:lncRNA